UGAGAAUGCACAAAUGGCACAAGUCGUC
rnacentral:sRNA from 1 species